rnacentral:rRNA from 1 species
CCUACGGGAGGCAGCAGUGGGGAAUAUUGCACAAUGGGGGCAAGCCUGAUGCAGCGACGCCGCGUGAGUGAAGAAGUAUUUCGGUAUGUAAAGCUCUAUCAGCAGGGAAGAAAAUGACGGUACCUGCUUAAGAAGCCCCGGCUAAAUACGUGCCAGCAGCCGCGGUAAUACGUAGGGGGCAAGCGUUAUCCCGAUUUACUGGGUGGAAAGGGGGCGGAGACGGCAGCACAAGUCUGGAGUGAAAUGCCAGGGCUUAACCCCGGAACUGCGUUGGAAAAUGUGCAGCUAGAGUGCAGGAGAGGUAAGUGGAAUUCCCAGUGUAGCGGGGAAAAGCGUAGAUAUUAGGAGGAACACCAGUGGCGAAGGCGGCUUACUGGACUGUAACUGACGUUGAGGCUCGAAAGCGUGGGGAGCAAACAGGAUUAGAUACCCUUGUAGUC